GACGAACGCUGGCGGCGUGCUUAACACAUGCAAGUCGAACGGAAAGGCCCUGCUUUUGCGGGGUGCUCGAGUGGCGAACGGGUGAGUAACACGUGAGUAACCUGCCCUUGACUUUGGGAUAACUUCAGGAAACUGGGGCUAAUACCGGAUAGGAGCACCUGCUGCAUGGUGGGGGUUGGAAAGUUUCGGCGGUUGGGGAUGGACUCGCGGCUUAUCAGCUUGUUGGUGGGGUAGUGGCUUACCAAGGCUUUGACGGGUAGCCGGCCUGAGAGGGUGACCGGCCACAUUGGGACUGAGAUACGGCCCAGACUCCUACGGGAGGCAGCAGUGGGGAAUAUUGCACAAUGGGCGGAAGCCUGAUGCAGCAACGCCGCGUGCGGGAUGACGGCCUUCGGGUUGUAAACCGCUUUCGCCUGUGACGAAGCGUGAGUGACGGUAAUGGGUAAAGAAGCACCGGCUAACUACGUGCCAGCAGCCGCGGUGAUACGUAGGGUGCGAGCGUUGUCCGGAUUUAUUGGGCGUAAAGGGCUCGUAGGUGGUUGAUCGCGUCGGAAGUGUAAUCUUGGGGCUUAACCCUGAGCGUGCUUUCGAUACGGGUUGACUUGAGGAAGGUAGGGGAGAAUGGAAUUCCUGGUGGAGCGGUGGAAUGCGCAGAUAUCAGGAGGAACACCAGUGGCGAAGGCGGUUCUCUGGGCCUUUCCUGACGCUGAGGAGCGAAAGCGUGGGGAGCGAACAGGCUUAGAUACCCUGGUAGUCCACGCUGUAAACGGUGGGUACUGGGUGUGGGGUCCAUUCCACGGGUUCCGUGCCGUAGCUAACGCUUUAAGUACCCCGCCUGGGGAGUACGGCCGCAAGGCUAAAACUCAAAGGAAUUGACGGGGCCCCGCACAAGCGGCGGAGCAUGCGGAUUAAUUCGAUGCAACGCGUAGAACCUUACCUGGGUUUGACAUGGAUCGGGAGUGCUCAGAGAUGGGUGUGCCUCUUUUGGGGUCGGUUCACAGGUGGUGCAUGGCUGUCGUCAGCUCGUGUCGUGAGAUGUUGGGUUAAGUCCCGCAACGAGCGCAACCCUUGUUCACUGUUGCCAGCACGUUAUGGUGGGGACUCAGUGGAGACCGCCGGGGUCAACUCGGAGGAAGGUGGGGAUGACGUCAAGUCAUCAUGCCCCUUAUGUCCAGGGCUUCACGCAUGCUACAAUGGCUGGUACAGAGAGUGGCGAGCCUGUGAGGGUGAGCGAAUCUCGGAAAGCCGGUCUCAGUUCGGAUUGGGGUCUGCAACUCGACCUCAUGAAGUCGGAGUCGCUAGUAAUCGCAGAUCAGCAACGCUGCGGUGAAUACGUUCCCGGGGCU
rnacentral:rRNA from 1 species